UACACACAGAAGUUGUGCCGCAGGGCUGA
rnacentral:piRNA from 1 species